rnacentral:lncRNA from 1 species
GGAAAUUUACAUUCCAAAUUUUUAUUAUAAAUAUUAACAUUAAAAAAUCAUAUCUUUGAUACAGAAGUUAAAAAAAAUAAAUAAAACUACAUAUUAACAUUAAACAUACAGUACUUCACAAAGAGUACGAACAUAAAGCAAAUAUUAAAAAUAAACAAUCUAUAUCAAAGCAGAUAUGAGAGAAAAAACUAAAAAUAACAAAUGCAAUAAAUUUUAAUCCCACUUUGGUGUCAAUGUGUGAAAAUGCUAAAUGAGUAAACUCUUGGUCUCUUUAACUUUCAUCAUUUUGAUUUCACAAAAAUGCCCAGAAAUAAAUCAUAUCACAAGAUUUGCGUUUGUAAAUUAAGACUAUUAAAAUGAAAGAGGUUAAUCAACAAAUGAGUUAACAUAAUUCAGGAUGCAAUAGAUUCACAUAUAUCAUAUAUUAAUAACAUGAGAUAAUAAUAUUAAAAUAUUUUAUAACAACAAGUAAGUAUGGCACAUCAACUAUUAUUUCUUUUUCCUCAUAUCAUUUAAUCUUCAAUUAUUUAUAUAUUCCAUAAUUUUGAUUAGCUGACACCAAUUGUAUUGAUUUUAAGAUGGUUUUAUUGUUCAAUAUAAAGCAACACCAAUAAGUAAAUUCAAUGAAUUAUCAACAACAAUAUGAAGGAAUGUGAAAGAGAAGACGAAUGUUAAAUAGAAAUCAAAUAAUAACUUUUAUUAAACUUUGUAAUUCCUUUUUAACUGUUAUUAUAAGAAUUUUUAUAUUUUUUAUUACAGUGUUCUUUAAUCAUUGACCAUACACAUAUUUUUUUGUAUAAAGCAUUCAUUUGGUUCUAACGAAAUGUUAAUUCAGUCCCAUCUUUACAGUUUAUAUAAUAAAUCAAAUCUUUGCAACCUAAACUACACUAAAUAAUUAAAGCUUUAUAACAUUGUUGACCUUUGGUCAUCUAUGUGUAUUUUGAAGCAAUGAUGUAAUAUCCAUGACGUCAUUGUGAAGUAAUAAUUAUGGCAAAAGUAAAUUGAAUUUCUUUAUCUGAAAAAAAUAAAUAAAAAUAAGAUGUGGUAUGAUUGCAAUGAGACAACUAUCCAACAGAGUCCAUAUGAAGUGGAUUUAUGAAACAAAAAGUCACUGUUCAGCCUUCGACAAUGAGCAAAACCCAUAGUAUAUAUAUAUAAUCAGCAAAUAAAAUGCCCUGACAUGACAAAUUGUUAAAUAAUUCAUAAGAAACCAUAUGCUCCGCAGGGUGCAGCUUUAUACGACCGCAGAGGUCGAACCCUGAAGAGUUGGGGGAAGUAUGGACACAACAUUUAACUUGACACAGCUCUGAAUUUGGAUUCUGAUUAAAUAGUUGACACAACAUAGGUUUCUGACACAGAAUGAAUGUGGUCUAAGAACUUAAAUUGGACAUUACUUAUUAUGGUCAAUUAUCCAAAAUUUAAAUACAUGGUUAUAUUCAGCAUAUCAUAGAACCUCAAGAAUUCAAUUUUUGAUGAAAUCAAAUAAUGUUCAAUUUUAGACCCUUUAGACCUCAAUGUGGACCAAUUUGAUAAACCGGGCCCAAAAAUCUAAAUACAUGGUAAGAUUCAGCAUAUUGAAGAACCCCAUAUAUUUAAUUUUUGUUGAAAUCAAACAAAGUUAAAUUUUGGACCCCGAUAUGGACCAACUUGAAAACUGGGCCCAUAAUCAAAAAUCAAAGUACAUGUUUAGAUUCAGCAUAUCAAAGAACCCCAAGAAUUCAAUUUUUGUUAAAAUCAAACUUAGUUUAAUUUUGGACCCUUUGGACCUUAAUGUAGACCAAUUUGAAAACAGGUCCAACCAGGUGCUCCGCAGGGCGCAGUUUAGACCGAGAGUCGAAACCUGAAACAGUUGGGGCAAGUAUGACAAAACAUUCAAGCGUGAUACAGCUCUGAAUUUGGAUUGUGAUCAAAUUUUCACAUUACAUGGGUUUUUUUUACACAAAACAAAUGU